CAGUCGCCGCGGGAAUACGAAGGGGGCUAGCGUUGCUCGGAAUCACUGGGCGUAAAGGGUGCGUAGGCGGGUCUUUAAGUCAGGGGUGAAAUCCUGGAGCUCAACUCCAGAACUGCCUUUGAUACUGAAGAUCUUGAGUUCGGGAGAGGUGAGUGGAACUGCGAGUGUAGAGGUGAAAUUCGUAGAUAUUCGCAAGAACACCAGUGGCGAAGGCGGCUCACUGGCCCGAUACUGACGCUGAGGCACGAAAGCGUGGGGAGCAAACAGGAUUAGAUACCCCAGUAGUCCCUGUCUUUAUACC
rnacentral:rRNA from 1 species